UACGGAGGGUGCGAGCGUUGUCCGGAAUCACUGGGCGUAAAGCGCGCGUAGGCGGCUUAGCAAGUUAGAGGUGAAAGCCCGAAGCUCAACUUCGGAAUUGCCUUUAAAACUGCAAAGCUAAAAUCAUGGAGAGGUGAGUGGAAUUCCGAGUGUAGAGGUGAAAUUCGUAGAUAUUCGGAGGAACACCGGUGGCGAAGGCGGAUCUCUGGGCCGAUACUGACGCUGAGGAGCGAAAGCGUGGGGAGCGAACAGG
rnacentral:rRNA from 1 species